rnacentral:sRNA from 1 species
AUUAUCUGAGACAGGCUCGCGUUAUGGCUCCGCUUUCUGCAGCUCUCUUACCCUGGCAUGGUGUGUGUGUGCCUGUGUGCUACGGAGAGUCCCGUAUUCUCAGAGUAAAAGUUGUUUCUGGAAUUGAUCUCGCCAAAAAGGACAUCUUUGGAGCCAGUGAUCCGUACGUGAAACUUUCAUUGUACGUAGCGGAUGAGAAUAGAGAACUUGCUUUGGUCCAGACAAAAACAAUUAAAAAG